rnacentral:rRNA from 1 species
CCUACGGGAGGCUGCAGUGGGGAAUAUUGGGCAAUGGGCGCAAGCCUGACCCAGCAACGCCGCGUGAAGGAAGAAGGCUUUCGGGUUGUAAACUUCUUUUGUCAGGGACGAAGCAAGUGACGGUACCUGACGAAUAAGCCACGGCUAACUACGUGCCAGCAGCCGCGGUAAUACGGAGGUGGCAAGCGUUAUCCGGAUUUACUGGGUGUAAAGGGCGUGUAGGCGGGACUGCAAGUCAGAUGUGAAAACCACGGGCUCAACCUGUGGCCUGCAUUUGAAACUGUAGUUCUCGAGUGCGGUAGAGGAGAGCGGAAUUCCCGGUGUAGCGGUGGAAUGCGGAGAUAUCGGGAAGAACACCGAUGGCGAAGGCAGGUCUCUGGGCCGUCACUGACGCUGAGGCGCGAAAGCUGGGGGAGCGAACAGGAUUAGAUACCCCGGUAGUC